CACGUAGUUAGCCGUGGCUUUCUGGUUAGGUACCGUCAAGGUACCGCCCUAUUCGAACGGUACUUGUUCUUCCCUAACAACAGAGUUUUACGAUCCGAAAACCUUCAUCACUCACGCGGCGUUGCUCCGUCAGACUUUCGUCCAUUGCGGAAGAUUCCCUACUGCUGCCUCCCGUAGGAGUCUGGGCCGUGUCUCAGUCCCAGUGUGGCCGAUCACCCUCUCAGGUCGGCUACGCAUCGUCGCCUUGGUGAGCCGUUACCUCACCAACUAGCUAAUGCGCCGCGGGUCCAUCUGUAAGUGGUAGCUAAAAGCCACCUUUUAUGAUUGAACCAUGCGGUUCAAUCAAGCAUCCGGUAUUAGCCCCGGUUUCCCGGAGUUAUCCCAGUCUUACAGGCAGGUUACCCACGUGUUACUCACCCGUCCGCCGCUGACCUAAGGGAGCAAGCUCCCAUCGGUCCGCUCGACUUGCAUGUAUUAGGCACGCCGCCAGCGUUCGUCCUGAGCCAGGAUCAAACUCU
rnacentral:rRNA from 1 species